AGUGUUUAUAGCCCUGUGAGUUUAACACUUCAUGAUUGAGAGCUGCCCUUCAUGGCAACAGAAUCCACAACAACAAUGACUUUUAUCAGCAUCUUCAUCUGGGCACUUGUCAUCUGCACUCAGGAAUCCAGUGGACAGUAUACUGUGACUCAGACUCCAGCAGUGAAAUCUGUUCUCCCAGGAGACACAGUCGCUCUGAGCUGUAAAGUCAGCAGCGCAGUGUACAAUGAUGACUUCCUAGCCUGGUACCAACAGAAACCAGGAGAAGCUCCCAAACUCCUGAUCUAUGAUGCAAGUACCCUUCAGUCUGGGAUCCUAACUCGUUUCAGUGGCAGUGGAUCUGGGACUGACUUCACUCUGACCAUCAGUGGAGUCCAGGCUGAAGAUGCAGGAGAUUACUACUGUCAGAGUUACCACCAACCCAGCAGUAGAGCUGUUUUCACACAGUGCUACACACCCGUACAAAAACCUCCCUCAGCAGGACUGCAGGUGAACAUUGUUCAUUUUCUGAUACUUAAAUACAACCCUGGCAGUGAAGGAUAG